rnacentral:rRNA from 1 species
AUUCCUGUACCACCUAUAAUCGUUUUAAUCGAUGGGGGGACGCAGUAGGAUAGGCGAAGCGUGCGAUUGGAUUGCACGUCUAAGCAGUAAGGCUGAGUAUUAGGCAAAUCCGGUACUCGUUAAGGCUGAGCUGUGAUGGGGAGAAGACAUUGUGUCUUCGAGUCGUUGAUUUCACACUGCCGAGAAAAGCCUCUAGAUAGAAAAUAGGUGCCCGUACCGCAAACCGACACAGGUAGUCAAGA